AUGUCUCUCGAAGGCUGGAAAAUGCCGUUUUCCGUCAAAUCGAUUAAAUUGAUUUUGCACUGCAAACACACUUGUCGGGA
rnacentral:sRNA from 1 species